AUGGGGCAAAGCUACCACCUGCGGGAUUAUGACUGAACGCCUCUAGGUCAGAAUCCUGCCCAGGCGGAACUAUACGGUAGCACCUUGGAGCUUCAGUUGGCCUUGGAUAGCCGGUCCCCC
rnacentral:rRNA from 1 species